rnacentral:rRNA from 1 species
UACGAAGGGGGCUAGUGUUGCUCGGAAUCACUGGGCGUAAAGGGUGCGUAGGCGGGUUUUAAGUCAGGGGUGAAAUCCUGGAGCUCAACUCCAGAACUGCCUUUGAUACUGAAGAUCUUGAGUCCGGGAGAGGUGAGUGGAACUGCGAGUGUAGAGGUGAAAUUCGUAGAUAUUCGCAAGAACACCAGUGGCGAAGGCGGCUCACUGGCCCGGUACUGACGCUGAGGCACGAAGCGUGGGAGCAACAGG